CCUAACACAUGCAAGUCGAACGGUCUCUUCGGAGGCAGUGGCAGACGGGUGAGUAAUGCAUGGGAAUCUACCGUUCUCUACGGAAUAACUCAGGGAAACUUGUGCUAAUACCGUAUACGCCCUUUUGGGGAAAGAUUUAUCGGAGAAUGAUGAGCCCAUGUUGGAUUAGCUAGUUGGUAGGGUAAAGGCCUACCAAGGCGACGAUCCAUAGCUGGUCUGAGAGGAUGAUCAGCCACACUGGGACUGAGACACGGCCCAGACUCCUACGGGAGGCAGCAGUGGGGAAUAUUGGACAAUGGGCGCAAGCCUGAUCCAGCCAUGCCGCGUGAGUGAUGAAGGCCCUAGGGUUGUAAAGCUCUU
rnacentral:rRNA from 1 species